rnacentral:lncRNA from 1 species
CGGUUUGGUCGUCGUUAUGAUGCAGAGAGAGUGUCGUGUACUGUGGGUGCAAGAGAUGUUUUGUGGAAAAACGUGAGCCAACCCCACGUUCCAAGAAAUAAAACAGCAUCAACGUCUUUUACACUCUCGCUCUCUCUCUCUCUCUCUCUCUUUCAUUCAAUCUGCUUAAAAGCGUUUAUUAACUACUCUCUCUUUUAUUAUUCUCUAAUUGUUUCUAAUAAAACCUCAGCGAGAGCGAAGAAGAAGAAGAGGCAGAAGAUAUUUUCUAGCUCUGCUCUGCCUAACUCAACUGUAUGUUCUUUCUUUUCUUCCUUCCUCCAUUCUCUACUGUGGGAUCUUCCGUUUUCC